GUUGGUGAACCAGCGGAGGGAUCAUUACAGGGUCUGACGACUGCCCAAACCAAACCGUGAACUAUUCCUUACAAACUUGCUACGGCGGGCCGCUCGCUGGGGGAGCCUGGGCCGCUAAUAACGGUGGCCCGCCGGAGCAAACAAACAAAACCACUCUGAUAAUUAUCUCUGAGAACUUUCUGAAUUGAGAAAAAUCACAACUCACAACAAUGGAUCUCUUGGCUCUG
rnacentral:misc_RNA from 1 species